GGGGGGCGCGGACACGCGUGGUGUGCGCGGUCCCCGUGCAGCCCGCCCUGCCGCAGGCUGCCCUCCACCCCCAGCCCCAGCCCCAGCCCCCAGCCCGUCCCUACUGCUCAUAUCCGAGCAGAUAGACCCCGGCCCCACCCUCCCGUGCUGAGCCUCCUUUCUGCCGGGAAGUUCGUCCGGGAGUCAAACAUCGCUGCCCUCCGGUUGCGCCACGGAGGGGGAGCCAGGAUAGGAAGCUGCCGUGAAAUCAGGAAGCUGAGCGCGCCGGGCCCCGGAUCCGAUCAGAAAAGGCUUCCACCCGCUCCCCUGAGGGAUCCCACGCUGAGGGACUGAACCCCGCACCCCAGCCGCGCUCACCACCCCCACCCUCUCGCCUGGGCUGCUCUGACCUGGGGUUCACUUUCUGAAGAUGAUUCUGAAGAAGAAGAGGAAUUGGAAGAGGAAUCCGAGCCUUCUGAAUGAAUUCCAGAACUGCCACUCAAAGUGCCAUAUGAGGAGCUGUGGUAACAGGGUAAUGUUCUCACGACUCAAAAAUCAGUGGAAAAAGGUACAGGAUGAGAAGCCUUGUUUCCCAACCCUAUCAACAGGGCUGUGCUGUUUCCCUCUACCACGAAUGCUCUUCUUAAAUACGGCUCACUUCAUCUCCUUCUGAUACCUGCUUAAAUGUCAUCUUCUCAAAAUGGCCUUGUCUGACCAACUUAUUAAAAUAGUAUCCCAACUAC
rnacentral:antisense_RNA from 1 species